GGCCUGAUGGUCUAGUAGUAUGAUUCCUUGUUAGGGUAACAGGUUACGCUCUGUAUUCUUCGAGGAGGUCCUGGGUUCAAUUCCCAGUCAGGCCC